CUUGGGCUAUGUUUAGUUGAACUCAAUACCCUUUGGGCCACAUCCCGAUUGCUCCUAUUCAUUGCUUUUGGAGGAAUUAGAGCAGACUACAUCAGUAGCUCAUCAGAUAAAACCCUUGCCUAAAAUCCUGCUGUAAAUUGCAGUUCAAAUGCCUGGCCACAGACUUCUCAAGGGAAGAGCCAAGUUUCCUCAUAUGUAUGACUACUGAUUGCAACCAUUCCCCUUGGGAAAACAAUCUAUUCAUUGCUCUGUUCAUUAAAGCAUCAAAAGAGCACAUCUGAUAGAAGGAAAAUUUUUCUCCAAAACACUGUAAUUUUGCCAAAAGUAAAAAAAAAAAAAAAGAAAAAAGAGAGAGAGAGAGAGAAACUUAUGCAGAUAAAAAGAUGCUGAGUAACAAUACAGCAAUACAGCUGUACAGGACGUAUCACUGAUAGGACUGCUGUGAGUUCAGAGCCAGUCUCCAAAUUCAGUGACACCAUCCAGAAGGACCUGGACAGGCUUGAAAAGUGGGUCCAUGAAGACCUAAUGAGGUUCAACAAGGCCAAGUGUAAGGUACUGUACUUGGGUUGGGGCAAUCCCAGAUAGGUGUACAGACUGGGAGAGGAACUCUCACUGAAAGCAGCCUUGUGGAGAAAUUGUCCAGGCCUGGGGUCCCAGCACAAGAAGGAUGGAGGAUUGCUGCAAUGGGUCCAGAGGAGGCCACAAAGAUGAUCAGAGGGCUGGAACACCUCCCUUGGGAAGAAAGGUUGAGGGAGAUGGGCUUGUUCAACUCGGAGGAGAGAAGGCUCUGGGGAGACCCCAUUGCAGCCUUCCAGUACUUGGAGAGAGCUUAUAAGCAAGAGCAGGACCGACUUUUUAGACAGGCAGAUAGUAAAAGAACAAGAGGAAAUGGCUUUAAAUAAAAAAGGGGGCGUUUGUUAGCUGUUAGGAAGAAAUUCUUUACACAGAGGGCAGUGAGGCGCUGGCACUGCUGCCCAGAGCUGUGGGUGCCCCAUCCCUGGAGGUGUCCAGGACUAGGCUGGAUGGGGCUUUGGGCAGCCUCAUCUAGUGGAAGAAAUCCUUGCUCACAGCAGGGGAUUGGAACUGGAUGACCUUUAAAGUCC
ensembl:lncRNA